rnacentral:rRNA from 1 species
UACAGAGGGUGCGAGCGUUAAUCGGAAUUACUGGGCGUAAAGCGCGCGUAGGCGGUUUGUUAAGUCGGAUGUGAAAUCCCCGGGCUCAACCUGGGAAUUGCAUUCGAUACUGGCAAGCUAGAGUAUGGGAGAGGAAGGUAGAAUUCCCGGUGUAGCGGUGAAAUGCGUAGAGAUCGGGAGGAAUACCAGUGGCGAAGGCGGCCACCUGGUCAGAAACUGACGCUGAGGUACGAAAGCGUGGGGAGCAAACAGG